rnacentral:rRNA from 1 species
UACGUAGGUGGCAAGCGUUGUCCGGAUUUAUUGGGUUUAAAGGGCGCGUAGGCGGCCACCGCAAGUCGACUGUGAAAUCUCCGGGCUUAACCCGGAAAGGUCAGCCGAUACUGCGGGGCUAGAGUGCAGAAGGGGCAACUGGAAUUCUCGGUGUAGCGGUGAAAUGCGUAGAUAUCGAGAGGAACACCUGUGGCGAAGGCGGAUCUCUGGGCCAUUACUGACGCUGAGGAGCGAAAGCGUGGGGAGCGAACAGG